UGGACCUCGUGCUCACCGCGCACCCCACCCAGGCGCUCCGCAGGUCCAUGCUCAAGAACUUCGGCACCGUUCGCCAGAAGCUCCUCGACCUCCAGCGCGCGCGCCUCUCCGGGUACGAGCGCGCGGAGCUCCUCGACUCGAUGGCGUCGGCGAUCCAAUCCGCCUGGCGAACCGACGAGAUUCGCAGGACGCCCCCGAAACCCCAGGACGAGAUGCGCGCCGGGCUGUCCUACUUCAACGAGACGGUGUUCGAGGGUCUGCCGAAAUUCUGCAGGCGUAUCGACUC
rnacentral:lncRNA from 1 species